rnacentral:rRNA from 1 species
CUACUCGACUCCUACGGGGAGGCACAGUGGGGAAUAUUGCACAAUGGGCGCAAGCCUGAUGCAGCCAUGCCGCGUGUAUGAAGAAGGCCUUCGGGUUGUAAAGUACUUUCAGCAGUGAGGAAGGUGGAUAUGUUAAUAGCAUAUUCAUUUGACGUUAGCUGCAGAAGAAGCACCGGCUAACUCCGUGCCAGCAGCCGCGGUAAUACGGAGGGUGCGAGCGUUAAUCGGAAUUACUGGGCGUAAAGCGCAUGCAGGUGGUUUGUUAAGUCAGAUGUGAAAGCCCGGGGCUCAACCUCGGAAUUGCAUUUGAAACUGGCAAACUAGAGUACUGUAGAGGGGGGUAGAAUUUCAGGUGUAGCGGUGAAAUGCGUAGAGAUCUGAAGGAAUACCGGUGGCGAAGGCGGCCCCCUGGACAGAUACUGACACUCAGAUGCGAAAGCGUGGGGAGCAAACAGGAUUAGAUACCCUGGUAG